AGCGAACGUUAGCGGCGGGCUUAACACAUGCAAGUCGAGCGAGAAAGGGGCUUCGGCCCUCAGUAAAGCGGCGGACGGGUGAGUAACACGUAGGUAAUCUUCCCUUGAGCGGGGGACAACGAGCCGAAAGGCUCGCUAAUACCGCAUAAGUUCCCGGGGACCCUGGUCCCUGGGAGGAAAGCUAGGCCGCAAGGUCCGGCACUCGAGGAGGAGCCUGCGUCGCAUCAGCUAGUUGGUGGGGUAACGGCCU
rnacentral:rRNA from 1 species